UUUGGCGGGAACGCGAAAUAUAAAGUUAUCUGUACAUACGUAGCCAUUUUAAUUUGUUAUUUGAUUUUUCGUUCGAGCGUGUCAUUUAGUAAUAUUUUAAUUCGUGUGUUGCUGUACAAAUAGUUAAAACGGAGCCCAGAAUGAAAAUCGACGCGCUUUCAACUGUGAAUCUGUUAAUGACUUUUCAAAUCCUAAAAAGGAGUUCAUUUUGUUUAUUCAGGGUUGGCGUACGUUAGUUUCUAUAGCUUUGGAAUACCUCAACAGAUUUAGUCGUGUAUUAUCCCUUAAUGCCGUCGGCUUUUUUGGCACACUAAUAGUAUUUUGUUUUUUUAUUAACUAGCGGACCCGGCGAACUUUGUUCCGCCACACGGUGUGUUUCAAACACAUCAACCAGGCAACUUCAAAAUUCUACUAUAAUUAACACAAUUAACCAUAGAAUAUAUUAAGUUUAGCUGUCA